GAGAUAACUCCUACGGGAGGCAGCAGUAGGGAAUUUUGGACAAUGGGGGCAACCCUGAUCCAGCAAUGCCGCGUGAGUGAAGAGGGCCCUCGGGGUGUAAAGCUCUUUUGUCGGGGAAGAAACGGUAGUAGCUAAUAUCUAUUACUAAUGACGGUACCUGAAGAAUAAGCACCGGCUAACUACGUGCCAGCAGCCGCGGUAAUACGUAGGGUGCAAGCGUUAAUCGGAAUUACUGGGCGUAAAGCGUGCGCAGGCGGUUGUGUAAGUCAGAUGUGAAAUCCCCGGGCUCAACCUGGGAAUUGCAUUUGAGACUGCACGGCUAGAGUGUGUCAGAGGGGGGUAGAAUUCCACGUGUAGCAGUGAAAUGCGUAGAUAUGUGGAGGAAUACCGAUGGCGAACGCAGCCCCCUGGGAUAACCCUGACGUUCAUGCACGAAAGCGUGGGGAGCAAACAGGAUUAGAAACCCCAGUAGUCCUCCACU
rnacentral:rRNA from 1 species